rnacentral:tRNA from 1 species
GCGUCGGUGGUUCAGUGGUAGAAUGCUCGCCUGCCACGCAUCCGGCCCGGGUUCGAUUCCGGCCGACGCA